GUCUAACGACCUUUUAAAUUUCUACUGUUUGUAGAUCUGAUGGUCCAUGUCUGUUACUC
rnacentral:misc_RNA from 1 species